rnacentral:rRNA from 1 species
UUAAGUUAUUAAGGGCGCACGGUGGAUGCCUUGGCACUAGAAGCCGAUGAAGGACGUUACUAACGACGAUAUGCUUUGGGGAGCUGUAAGUAAGCUUUGAUCCAGAGAUUUCCGAAUGGGGAAACCCAGCAUGAGUUAUGUCAUGUUAUCGAUAUGUGAAUACAUAGCAUAUCAGAAGGCACACCCGGAGAACUGAAACAUCUUAGUANCCGGAGGAAGAGAAAGAAAAUUCGAUUCCCUUAGUAGCGGCGAGCGAAACGGGAAGAGCCCAAACCAACAAGCUUGCUUGUUGGGGUUGUAGGACACUCUAUACGGAGUUACAAAGGACGACAUUAGACGAAUCAUCUGGAAAGAUGAAUCAAAGAAGGUAAUAAUCCUGUAGUCGAAAAUGUUGUCUCUCUUGAGUGGAUCCUGAGUACGACGGAGCACGUGAAAUUCCGUCGGAAUCUGGGAGGACCAUCUCCUAAGGCUAAAUACUCUCUAGUGACCGAUAGUGAACCAGUACCGUGAGGGAAAGGUGAAAAGCACCCCGGAAGGGGAGUGAAAUAGAACCUGAAACCGUGUGCUUACAAGUAGUCAGAGCCCGUUAAUGGGUGAUGGCGUGCCUUUUGUAGAAUGAACCGGCGAGUUACGAUUUGAUGCAAGGUUAAGCAGUAAAUGUGGAGCCGUAGCGAAAGCGAGUCUGAAUAGGGCGUUUAGUAUUUGGUCGUAGACCCGAAACCAGGUGAUCUACCCUUGGUCAGGUUGAAGUUCAGGUAACACUGAAUGGAGGACCGAACCGACUUACGUUGAAAAGUGAGCGGAUGAACUGAGGGUAGCGGAGAAAUUCCAAUCGAACCUGGAGAUAGCUGGUUCUCUCCGAAAUAGCUUUAGGGCUAGCCUCAAGUGAUGAUUAUUGGAGGUAGAGCACUGUUUGGACGAGGGGCCCCUCUCGGGUUACCGAAUUCAGACAAACUCCGAAUGCCAAUUAAUUUAACUUGGGAGUCAGAACAUGGGUGAUAAGGUCCGUGUUCGAAAGGGAAACAGCCCAGACCACCAGCUAAGGUCCCAAAAUAUAUGUUAAGUGGAAAAGGAUGUGGCGUUGCCCAGACAACUAGGAUGUUGGCUUAGAAGCAGCCAUCAUUUAAAGAGUGCGUAAUAGCUCACUAGUCGAGUGACACUGCGCCGAAAAUGUACCGGGGCUAAACAUAUUACCGAAGCUGUGGAUUGUCCUUUGGACAAUGGUAGGAGAGCGUUCUAAGGGCGUUGAAGCAUGAUCGUAAGGACAUGUGGAGCGCUUAGAAGUGAGAAUGCCGGUGUGAGUAGCGAAAGACGGGUGAGAAUCCCGUCCACCGAUUGACUAAGGUUUCCAGAGGAAGGCUCGUCCGCUCUGGGUUAGUCGGGUCCUAAGCUGAGGCCGACAGGCGUAGGCGAUGGAUAACAGGUUGAUAUUCCUGUACCACCUAUAAUCGUUUUAAUCGAUGGGGGGACGCAGUAGGAUAGGCGAAGCGUGCGAUUGGAUUGCACGUCUAAGCAGUAAGGCUGAGUAUUAGGCAAAUCCGGUACUCGUUAAGGCUGAGCUGUGAUGGGGAGAAGACAUUGUGUCUUCGAGUCGUUGAUUUCACACUGCCGAGAAAAGCCUCUAGAUAGAAAAUAGGUGCCCGUACCGCAAACCGACACAGGUAGUCAAGAUGAGAAUUCUAAGGUGAGCGAGCGAACUCUCGUUAAGGAACUCGGCAAAAUGACCCCGUAACUUCGGGAGAAGGGGUGCUCUUUAGGGUUAACGCCCAGAAGAGCCGCAGUGAAUAGGCCCAAGCGACUGUUUAUCAAAAACACAGGUCUCUGCUAAACCGUAAGGUGAUGUAUAGGGGCUGACGCCUGCCCGGUGCUGGAAGGUUAAGAGGAGUGGUUAGCUUCUGCGAAGCUACGAAUCGAAGCCCCAGUAAACGGCGGCCGUAACUAUAACGGUCCUAAGGUAGCGAAAUUCCUUGUCGGGUAAGUUCCGACCCGCACGAAAGGCGUAACGAUUUGGGCACUGUCUCAACGAGAGACUCGGUGAAAUCAUAGUACCUGUGAAGAUGCAGGUUACCCGCGACAGGACGGAAAGACCCCGUGGAGCUUUACUGUAGCCUGAUAUUGAAAUUCGGCACAGCUUGUACAGGAUAGGUAGGAGCCUUUGAAACGUGAGCGCUAGCUUACGUGGAGGCGCUGGUGGGAUACUACCCUAGCUGUGUUGGNNNNNNNNNNNNNNNNNNNNNNNNNNNNNUUUCUAACCCGCACCACUUAUCGUGGUGGGAGACAGUGUCAGGCGGGCAGUUUGACUGGGGCGGUCGCCUCCUAAAAGGUAACGGAGGCGCUCAAAGGUUCCCUCAGAAUGGUUGGAAAUCAUUCAUAGAGUGUAAAGGCAUAAGGGAGCUUGACUGCGAGACCUACAAGUCGAGCAGGGUCGAAAGACGGACUUAGUGAUCCGGUGGUUCCGCAUGGAAGGGCCAUCGCUCAACGGAUAAAAGCUACCCCGGGGAUAACAGGCUUAUCUCCCCCAAGAGUUCACAUCGACGGGGAGGUUUGGCACCUCGAUGUCGGCUCAUCGCAUCCUGGGGCUGUAGUCGGUCCCAAGGGUUGGGCUGUUCGCCCAUUAAAGCGGUACGCGAGCUGGGUUCAGAACGUCGUGAGACAGUUCGGUCCCUAUCCGUCGUGGGCGUAGGAAAUUUGAGAGGAGCUGUCCUUAGUACGAGAGGACCGGGAUGGACAUACCUCUGGUGUACCAGUUGUCGUGCCAACGGCAUAGCUGGGUAGCUAUGUGUGGACGGGAUAAGUGCUGAAAGCAUCUAAGCAUGAAGCCCCCCUCAAGAUGAGAUUUCCCAACUUCGGUUAUAAGAUCCCUCAAAGAUGAUGAGGUUAAUAGGUUCGAGGUGGAAGCAUGGUGACAUGUGGAGCUGACGAAUACUAAUCGAUCGAAGACUUAAUCAA